UACAGAGGUGCCAAGCGUUAGGCGGAAUCACUGGGCUUAAAGCGCGUGUAGGCGGGUCGUUAAGUGUCCGAGUGAAAUCCCACGGCUCAACCGUGGAACUGCCGGGCAUACUGGCGAUCUUGAGGCAUUCAGGGGCGAGCGGAACAAAUGGUGGAGCGGUGAAAUGCGUAGAUAUCAUUUGGAACGCCAAUGGUGAAAACAGCUCGCUGGGAAUGAUCUGGCGCUGAGACGCGAAAGCCAGGGGAGCGAACGGG
rnacentral:rRNA from 1 species